GAAAGAUGGUUUUGCUAUCACUUAUAGAUGGACCCGCGCCGUAUUAGCUAGUUGGUAAGGUAACGGCUUACCAAGGCGACGAUACGUAGCCGACCUGAGAGGGUGAUCGGCCACACUGGAACUGAGACACGGUCCAGACUCCUACGGGAGGCAGCAGUAGGGAAUCUUCCGCAAUGGGCGAAAGCCUGACGGAGCAACGCCGCGUGAGUGAUGAAGGGUUUCGGCUCGUAAAACUCUGUUAUUAGGGAAGAACAAAUGUGUAAGUAACUGUGCACAUCUUGACGGUACCUAAUCAGAAAGCCACGGCUAACUACGUGCCAGCAGCCGCGGUAAUACGUAGGUGGCAAGCGUUAUCCGGAAUUAUUGGGCGUAAAGCGCGCGUAGGCGGUUUCUUAAGUCUGAUGUGAAAGCCCCCGGCUCAACCGUGGAGGGUCAUUGGAAACUGGGAAACUUGAGUGCAGAAGAGGAAAGUGGAAUUCCAUGUGUAGCGGUGAAAUGCGCAGAGAUAUGGAGGAACACCAGUGGCGAAGGCGACUUUCUGGUCUGUAACUGACGCUGAUGUGCGAAAGCGUGGGGAUCAAACAGGAUUAGAUACCCUGGUAGUCCACGCCGUAAACGAUGAGUGCUAAGUGUU
rnacentral:rRNA from 1 species